UACGAAGGGGGCUAGCGUUGCUCGGAUUGACUGGGCGUAAAGGGCGCGUAGGCGGUUUGCACAGUCAGACGUGAAAUUCCUGGGCUCAACCUGGGGCUGCGUUUGAUACGUGUAGACUUGAGUGCGGAAGAGGGUCGUGGAAUUCCCAGUGUAGAGGUGAAAUUCGUAGAUAUUGGGAAGAACACCGGUGGCGAAGGCGGCGACCUGGUCCGAUACUGACGCUGAGGCACGAAAGCGUGGGGAGCAAACAGG
rnacentral:rRNA from 1 species